UGACCUCGGAUCAGGUAGGAAUACCCGCUGAACUUAAGCAUAUCAAUAAGCGGAGGAAAAGAAACCAACAGGGAUUGCCCUAGUAACGGCGAGUGAAGCGGCAACAGCUCAAAUUUGAAAUCUGGCUACUUCGUAGUCCGAGUUGUAAUUUGUAGAGGAUGCUUUUGGUGAGGUGCUUUCUGAGUUCCCUGGAACGGGACGCCAGAGAGGGUGAGAGCCCCGUACAGUUAGCAACUGAUCCUUUGUAUAGCUCCUUCGACGAGUCGAGUAGUUUGGGAAUGCUGCUCUAAAUGGGAGGUAUAUCUCUUCUAAAGCUAAAUAUAGGCUAGAGACCGAUAGCGCACAAGUAGAGUGAUCGAAAGAUGAAAAGCACUUUGAAAAGAGAGUUAAACAGCACGUGAAAUUGUUGAAAGGGAAGCGCCUAUGACCAGACUUGUUUCUAUCAGUUUUGGUAGUUUUCGGACUGCUUUACUCUGUUAGUACAGGCCAACAUCAGUUUGUUGUCGGGGAGAAAGGCUUAGGGAAUGUGGCUCCCUCGGGAGUGUUAUAGACCUUUGCAUAAUACCCUUUGG
rnacentral:rRNA from 1 species